CCUAAAAUCAUUGCAGCUCUAUCCUGCUCAAAUGGAAGAACAGCUUCACUUGACAUGGUGCAAACCAAGUUCAGAUUGUCCCAAAGAUUAAGGAAUUGGAGCAUCAAAUUCUGAUCUCAGGUGGCUGCUGUUUGUUUGGCUCUCGCAAAGACUGGUAACUUUGCCCUAUAUUGAGAACAAACUCCAUCUGCAUCUUGGAUAAGCCAUUUAGUCAAGCAUGCAUGGUUUCUAGGAAACAAACCUUCUAUUAUCUGCGAGCUAUAUGAAGAACCUCCUGUCAGAUAUCACAUUCUUGUGCUCUCUUGGUGUUUCCAUGAAAGCUUAACAAA